rnacentral:rRNA from 1 species
UGGGAUGAAAAAAAAAAAAAUAACAAGGUUUCCGUAGGUGAACCUGCGGAAGGAUCAUUACAGUAUUCUUUUGCCAGCGCUUAACUGCGCGGCGAAAAACCUUACACACAGUGUCUUUUUGAUACAGAACUCUUGCUUUGGUUUGGCCUAGAGAUAGGUUGGGCCAGAGGUUUAACAAAACACAAUUUAAUUAUUUUUACAGUUAGUCAAAUUUUGAAUUAAUCUUCAAAACUUUCAACAACGGAUCUCUUGGUUCUCGCAUCGAUGAAGAACGCAGCGAAAUGCGAUAAGUAAUAUGAAUUGCAGAUUUUCGUGAAUCAUCGAAUCUUUGAACGCACAUUGCGCCCUCUGGUAUUCCAGAGGGCAUGCCUGUUUGAGCGUCAUUUCUCUCUCAAACCCCCGGGUUUGGUAUUGAGUGAUACUCUUAGUCGGACUAGGCGUUUGCUUGAAAAGUAUUGGCAUGGGUAGUACUAGAUAGUGCUGUCGACCUCUCAAUGUAUUAGGUUUAUCCAACUCGUUGAAUGGUGUGGCGGGAUAUUUCUGGUAUUGUUGGCCCGGCCUUACAACAACCAAACAAGUUUGACCUCAAAUCAGGUAGGAAUACCCGCUGAACUUAAGCAUAUCAAA